AACGAACGCUGGCGGCAUGCCUAACACAUGCAAGUCGAACGAGACCUUCGGGUCUAGUGGCGUACGGGUGCGUAACGCGUGGGAACCUGCCCCUAGGUUCGGAAUAACUCCCCGAAAGGGGUGCUAAUACCGGAUAAUGUCUUCGGACCAAAGAUUUAUCGCCUUUGGAUGGGCCCGCGUUGGAUUAGCUAGUUGGUAGGGUAAAAGCCUACCAAGGCGACGAUCCAUAGCUGGUCUGAGAGGAUGAUCAGCCACACUGGGACUGAGACACGGCCCAGACUCCUACGGGAGGCAGCAGUGGGGAAUAUUGGACAAUGGGCGAAAGCCUGAUCCAGCAAUGCCGCGUGAGUGAUGAAGGCCGUAGGGUUGUAAAGCUCUUUUACCCGGGAUGAUAAUGACAGUACCGGGAGAAUAAGCGCCGGCUAACUCCGUG
rnacentral:rRNA from 1 species